GCGCUGCUAGGAUCCCCGCGCGACCCCGCGCCGCGGCCGGAGAGAGCCCCCGACCACCACCCGGCAGGCUCAGGCCGACCAAUGCGCGAGCGUGCCCGGCACGCGACGCGCGUGUCACCGAUGCCGCCGCCCGCGGGUGGCGAGGACCCCGAUGCCGACGCGGCGCCCUCCUGCAGCGGCUCCGCCGACGAAGGCGACACGCAGACGCAGGAGCGGUCGCUCCCCAACGGCGACAUCUACACGGGCCAGUGGCGCGGCGCCGUGCCCCACGGCGCCGGCAAGUACCUCUGGGCGGACGGGUGCAUGUACGAGGGCGAGUGGCGGCGGGGGAAGGCCACCGGCCGCGGCAAGUUCUCCUGGCCGUCCGGCGCCACCUACGAGGGCGAGUUCCUCGACGGCUUCAUGUACGGCGCCGGCACCUACGUCGGCGCCGCGGGGGACACCUACCGCGGCGCCUGGGCGAAGAACCUCGAGCACGGCGCCGGAGACAAGCGCUACGCCAACGGCGACCGCUACGACGGCGAGUGGCGCGCGGGGCUCCCCGACGGCUGCGGACGCUACGCCUGGCGCGACGGCACCGAGUACGCCGGCGGCUGGCGCGCGGGGCUCAUCCACGGCCGCGGCGCGCUCGUCUGGGCCAAUGGCAACCGCUACGACGGUGGCUGGGAGGGCGGCCGCCCGCGCGGCCAGGGCACGUUCCGCUGGGCCGACGGCAGUCUCUACGUCGGCUUCUGGGGCCGCGAGGCGCCCGGCGGCGCCGUCUACCAGAAGGGCGUGUACUACCCGUCCCCCGCGGCGGCGGGCGACUCCCCACGGGGGCGCGACCCGAGGGACGUCUUCGCGCGGGAGCUGCCGGAGUGCGUGCGCUCCGGCACCGGGGCCCAAUCGGCGCUUGCGUCUCUGAGAUCGCUCAAAUGGCUGAUGCGGUCGGUCAGCGGACGCGGGAGCUCCUCCUCCGGGCGGAGCAAUGGCUCGGGAGGCAGCCUCGUGCACUUCUGGGGGUCCGAUGGAGAUGUCAAGUGUGACCUUGGGGACGACUGGAGGCGCUGGAGUGUCAGGGAAGGGAGGGGGCUGCCACCGCCAUCACCAGCCCCAGCGCCGCACCUGGCCAACAUCGCGCCCCUGCGGGUGUUGAAGCGGCAGGGGGCGACCAUUGCCAAGGGGCACAAGAACUACGAGCUAAUGCUCAACCUGCAGCUCGGGAUCAGGCAUGCAGUAGGAAGACAAGGUCAAGCUAUAUUAGACCUCAAAUCAUCAGCAUUUGAUCCAAAGGAGAAAGUGUGGACAAAAUUCCCUCCUGAAGGCUCAAAAUAUACCCCUCCACACAAUUCGUGUGAUUUCAAAUGGAAGGAUUACUGCCCAAAGGUGUUCCGUACUCUUCGUAAGCUGUUCAAGGUUGACCCAGCUGACUAUAUGCUGUCCCUCUGUGGAGAUGAUGCUCUUCGGGAGCUUUCAUCCCCUGGCAAGAGUGGAAGCUUCUUUUACUUGACGAAUGAUGAUCGCUACAUGAUAAAGACAAUGAAGAAAGCUGAAGUGAAGGUAUAUCUUUUGCUGUCUUUUUCCAAACUCUUUCUAAGCUUCUUAAAUUGGCAAAAUUUUGUUCUAAAUAUAUGGAUUACCUAUUACCAUACAGAUGCUUCUGAAGAUGCUUCCAGCUUACUACAAUCAUGUCCGUGCAUUUGAGGAUACCUUGGUGACAAAGUUCUUUGGUCUACAUUGUGUAAAGUCUGGAGUACAGCAGAAGAAGGUUCGUUUUGUCAUAAUGGGAAAUUUGUUCUGCUCUGAUCAUACUAUCCAUAGGCGAUUUGAUCUAAAAGGAUCAUCUCUUGGCCGUAUAACUGACAAGACACCGGCUGAGAUUGAUGAGUAUACAACUCUGAAGGACCUUGAUCUUAACUUUAUCUUUCGAUUACAGAAACAAUGGUACCAAGAGUUUCAAAGGCAAGUGGAUAAGGACUGUGAGUUCCUUGAGCAGGAGAAGAUUAUGGAUUACAGUCUAUUGGUGGGUGUACAUUUUAGAGGUGCCGUUGACGUUGAUGGUGAAAAACUUGCUACACCUCGCCUUUCAAGAUGGGAUAGGGAUCAUUUUCGUUCUGAUCCAAACAGGUGGUCGAAAAUUAAACUUGGGGCAAACAUGCUGUCAAGGGCUGAACUGACAACCCGAAAGAAUGAUGGUGAUAUUUUUGGAGAGCCAACUGGGGAGUACUGUGAUGUUAUAUUGUAUUUCGGGAUUAUUGAUAUACUUCAGGACUAUGAUAUUGGCAAAAGGCUAGAGCAUGCUUACAAAUCUUUUCAGUAUGAUUCAACAUCCAUCUCAGCGGUUGGUCCAAAACAGUAUUCCAAGCGCUUCAAAGAUUUCAUAUACAAAGCAUUUCAAGAGGAUAAAGUAGACAGCUGGAGUUCAGCAGUUUCCUUAGAAGGCACCAAGGCCAUAGUUGCUGGAGCUUCUAGUGAUCCGGUUUUGCGGGGCCGCGGGUCUGGAUGGGGACAACACGUGCGGCAUUGCGGAGAGGAGGUGCGAGGGUCACGCGGGAGGAGGACGAGGACGACGACGAGGGGGCUCGCCGCGACGGUGAGGGUGGAGGACGCCGGCGAUGGGAGGGGGCUGCCGCCGCCGUCGCCGGCGACGGGGCCCUACGCCGGCGGCAGGUCGCGAGGCCCGCGGCGGCAGGGAGAGACCAUCGCCAAGGGGCACAAGAACUACGAGCUCAUGCUCAACCUGCAGCUCGGCAUCAGGCACGCAGUAGGAAAGCAAGGUCCAAUUACACUUGAUCUUAAAUCAUCAGCUUUUGACCCAAAGGAGAAAGUAUGGACAAGGUUCCCUCCGGAGGGCUCAAAGUACACCCCUCCACACAGUUCUUGUGAUUUCAAAUGGAAGGAUUACUGCCCACAAGUAUUCCGGACAUUGCGCAAGUUGUUCAAGGUUGAUGCCGCAGACUACAUGUUAUCCCUUUGUGGAGACCAGGCUCUCCGGGAGCUUUCAUCACCUGGUAAAAGUGGAAGCUUCUUUUAUCUUACGAGCAACGACCAGUACAUGAUAAAGACAAUGAAGAAAUCUGAAGUAAAGAUAUUUCUGAAGAUGCUUCGAGCUUAUUAUAAUCAUGUCAGGGCAUUUGAGAACACUCUAGUCACAAAGUUUUUCGGUCUUCACUGUGUCAAAUUAGCUGGAGCGAACCAAAAGAAGGUUCGUUUUGUCAUAAUGGGGAAUCUGUUCUGCUCUGAUUACCCCAUUCAUAGGAGAUUUGACCUGAAAGGUUCAUCUCUUGGACGUACAACUGACAAACCACAAACAGAGAUUGAUGAGUACACUACUCUGAAGGAUCUUGAUCUCAACUUUAUAUUUCGACUGCAAAAACAUUGGUGCCAGGAGUUCCAAAGGCAAGUUGACAGGGACUGCGAGUUUCUCGAGCAGGAAAAUAUCAUGGACUAUAGUCUCUUGGUUGGUGUACAUUUUAGGGAUACUAGGGAUAGGCUAUUGACUGGAGGUUCAUUUGAUAGUGACAGCAGCAGAGGAUCAUCGCCUCACUUGUCUAGAGGAGAUACGGAUCCAAACAGGUUCGCCAAGAUAAAACUUGGGUCAAACAUGCCAAUAAGAGCUGAACGGACAAUAAGAAAGAGUGACAUUGAACCACAGAUUAUUGGCGAGCCUACAGGAGAGUUCUAUGACGUUGUAUUAUAUUUCGGGAUCAUAGACAUACUUCAAGAUUACGAUAUCAGCAAAAAGCUUGAGCAUGCAUACAAGUCUUUCCAAUAUGACCCAACAUCCAUUUCAGCAGUCGAUCCAAAACAGUACUCGAGACGCUUCAGAGACUUCGUAUUCAAAGCGUUCCAGGAAGAGAAGUUUGACUUGUGAAAAAACACAUGGAAGCUCAGGAGCCAGCGUUGCUGCUGACAUGGAUACCACCAGUGUUGAAAUGUAGAAACAUGGCGCUGCUCGCAUUGUGGCAGAGCUUUUGGUGACCUUGCUUGCUACUUCCACACCAGACUGCAGCGCACGACAGAAGCUUCAGUAGAAGGCAUCAGGUUGGUGAAGCCCCUGACUGCGGACUCCUGAGGGAUUCAGCUGGCUCUGAUGUAGGAAUAAGGCUCCAACUCGAGAUAUCGGUGCAUUUCAAUAAGCAGGUUCAACAGUUUUUUUUCAUAAAAAGAGUUGCCUGGCAAACUGCUGUUCGCUCAGCUGCAUUUCUACAGCUGCUAUUUACACUGCACUGUAAUGCCAAGCUACGCCUAAAACAAGUACCCGUGCAUAUAGAAAUCACUGAUAUUAGUGUAGACGCUGACAACCUACAGAGAAAUUUGUAAUGACAGUUCAGGGAUGUAAAUCUUUUUUACAUGAGGCGACAGGUCACAGUUCUUCUGCUUA